CCUACGGGAGGCAGCAGUGAGGAAUAUUGGUCAAUGGGCGUAAGCCUGAACCAGCCAAGUCGCGUGAGGGAUGAAGGUUCUAUGGAUCGUAAACCUCUUUUAUAAGGAAAUAAAGUGCGGGACGUGUCCCGUUUUGUAUGUACCUUAUGAAUAAGGAUCGGCUAACUCCGUGCCAGCAGCCGCGGUAAUACGGAGGAUCCGAGCGUUAUCCGGAUUUAUUGGGUUUAAAGGGUGCGUAGGCUGACUUUUAAGUCAGGGGUGAAAUUCUGUGGCUCAACCAGAGAAUUGCCGUGGAAACUGGGAGGCUUGAGUAUGUGAGAGGAUGGCGGAAUGCGUGGUGUAGCGGUGAAAUGCUUAGAUAUCACGCAGAACCCCGAUUGCGAAGGCAACCAGCCAGGCCAUAACUGACGCUGAUGCACGAAAGCGUGGGGAUCAAACAGGAUUAGAUACCCUUGUAGUC
rnacentral:rRNA from 1 species